AUACGGAGGGUGCAAGCGUUAAUCGGAAUUACUGGGCGUAAAGCGUACGUAGGCGGUUAUUUAAGUCAGAUGUGAAAGCCCCGGGCUUAACUUGGGAACUGCAUUUGAAACUGGGUAACUAGAGUUUAGUAGAGGGGAGUGGAAUUUCAGGUGUAGCGGUGAAAUGCGUAGAGAUCUGAAGGAACACCAGUGGCGAAGGCGACUCCCUGGACUAAAACUGACGCUGAGGUGCGAAAGCGUGGGGAGCAAACAGGAUUAGAAACCCCGGUAGUCC
rnacentral:rRNA from 1 species